UUAAGCGACUAAGCGUACACGGUGGAUGCCCUGGCAGUCAGAGGCGAUGAAGGACGUGCUAAUCUGCGAUAAGCGUCGGUAAGGUGAUAUGAACCGUUAUAACCGGCGAUUUCCGAAUGGGGAAACCCAGUGUGAUUCGUCACACUAUCAUUAACUGAAUCCAUAGGUUAAUGAGGCGAACCGGGGGAACUGAAACAUCUAAGUACCCCGAGGAAAAGAAAUCAACCGAGAUUCCCCCAGUAGCGGCGAGCGAACGGGGAGGAGCCCAGAGCCUGAAUCAGUGUGUGUGUUAGUGGAAGCGUCUGGAAAGGCGCGCGAUACAGGGUGACAGCCCCGUACACAAAAAUGCACAUAUUGUGAGCUCGAUGAGUAGGGCGGGACACGUGGUAUCCUGUCUGAAUAUGGGGGGACCAUCCUCCAAGGCUAAAUACUCCUGACUGACCGAUAGUGAACCAGUACCGUGAGGGAAAGGCGAAAAGAACCCCGGCGAGGGGAGUGAAAAAGAACCUGAAACCGUGUACGUACAAGCAGUGGGAGCCUCUUUUAUGGGGUGACUGCGUACCUUUUGUAUAAUGGGUCAGCGACUUAUAUUCUGUAGCAAGGUUAACCGAAUAGGGGAGCCGAAGGGAAACCGAGUCUUAACUGGGCGUUAAGUUGCAGGGUAUAGACCCGAAACCCGGUGAUCUAGCCAUGGGCAGGUUGAAGGUUGGGUAACACUAACUGGAGGACCGAACCGACUAAUGUUGAAAAAUUAGCGGAUGACUUGUGGCUGGGGGUGAAAGGCCAAUCAAACCGGGAGAUAGCUGGUUCUCCCCGAAAGCUAUUUAGGUAGCGCCUCGUGAAUUCAUCUCCGGGGGUAGAGCACUGUUUCGGCAAGGGGGUCAUCCCGACUUACCAACCCGAUGCAAACUGCGAAUACCGGAGAAUGUUAUCACGGGAGACACACGGCGGGUGCUAACGUCCGUCGUGAAGAGGGAAACAACCCAGACCGCCAGCUAAGGUCCCAAAGUCAUGGUUAAGUGGGAAACGAUGUGGGAAGGCCCAGACAGCCAGGAUGUUGGCUUAGAAGCAGCCAUCAUUUAAAGAAAGCGUAAUAGCUCACUGGUCGAGUCGGCCUGCGCGGAAGAUGUAACGGGGCUAAACCAUGCACCGAAGCUGCGGCAGCGACACUAUGUGUUGUUGGGUAGGGGAGCGUUCUGUAAGCCUGUGAAGGUGUACUGUGAGGUAUGCUGGAGGUAUCAGAAGUGCGAAUGCUGACAUAAGUAACGAUAAAGCGGGUGAAAAGCCCGCUCGCCGGAAGACCAAGGGUUCCUGUCCAACGUUAAUCGGGGCAGGGUGAGUCGACCCCUAAGGCGAGGCCGAAAGGCGUAGUCGAUGGGAAACAGGUUAAUAUUCCUGUACUUGGUGUUACUGCGAAGGGGGGACGGAGAAGGCUAUGUUGGCCGGGCGACGGUUGUCCCGGUUUAAGCGUGUAGGCUGGUUUUCCAGGCAAAUCCGGAAAAUCAAGGCUGAGGCGUGAUGACGAGGCACUACGGUGCUGAAGCAACAAAUGCCCUGCUUCCAGGAAAAGCCUCUAAGCAUCAGGUAACAUCAAAUCGUACCCCAAACCGACACAGGUGGUCAGGUAGAGAAUACCAAGGCGCUUGAGAGAACUCGGGUGAAGGAACUAGGCAAAAUGGUGCCGUAACUUCGGGAGAAGGCACGCUGAUAUGUAGGUGAAGUCCCUCGCGGAUGGAGCUGAAAUCAGUCGAAGAUACCAGCUGGCUGCAACUGUUUAUUAAAAACACAGCACUGUGCAAACACGAAAGUGGACGUAUACGGUGUGACGCCUGCCCGGUGCCGGAAGGUUAAUUGAUGGGGUCAGCGCAAGCGAAGCUCUUGAUCGAAGCCCCGGUAAACGGCGGCCGUAACUAUAACGGUCCUAAGGUAGCGAAAUUCCUUGUCGGGUAAGUUCCGACCUGCACGAAUGGCGUAAUGAUGGCCAGGCUGUCUCCACCCGAGACUCAGUGAAAUUGAACUCGCUGUGAAGAUGCAGUGUACCCGCGGCAAGACGGAAAGACCCCGUGAACCUUUACUAUAGCUUGACACUGAACAUUGAGCCUUGAUGUGUAGGAUAGGUGGGAGGCUUUGAAGUGUGGACGCCAGUCUGCAUGGAGCCGACCUUGAAAUACCACCCUUUAAUGUUUGAUGUUCUAACGUUGACCCGUAAUCCGGGUUGCGGACAGUGUCUGGUGGGUAGUUUGACUGGGGCGGUCUCCUCCUAAAGAGUAACGGAGGAGCACGAAGGUUGGCUAAUCCUGGUCGGACAUCAGGAGGUUAGUGCAAUGGCAUAAGCCAGCUUGACUGCGAGCGUGACGGCGCGAGCAGGUGCGAAAGCAGGUCAUAGUGAUCCGGUGGUUCUGAAUGGAAGGGCCAUCGCUCAACGGAUAAAAGGUACUCCGGGGAUAACAGGCUGAUACCGCCCAAGAGUUCAUAUCGACGGCGGUGUUUGGCACCUCGAUGUCGGCUCAUCACAUCCUGGGGCUGAAGUAGGUCCCAAGGGUAUGGCUGUUCGCCAUUUAAAGUGGUACGCGAGCUGGGUUUAGAACGUCGUGAGACAGUUCGGUCCCUAUCUGCCGUGGGCGCUGGAGAACUGAGGGGGGCUGCUCCUAGUACGAGAGGACCGGAGUGGACGCAUCACUGGUGUUCGGGUUGUCAUGCCAAUGGCACUGCCCGGUAGCUAAAUGCGGAAGAGAUAAGUGCUGAAAGCAUCUAAGCACGAAACUUGCCCCGAGAUGAGUUCUCCCUGACCCUUUAAGGGUCCUGAAGGAACGUUGAAGACGACGACGUUGAUAGGCCGGGUGUGUAAGCGCAGCGAUGCGUUGAGCUAACCGGUACUAAUGAACCGUGAGGCUUAACCUU
rnacentral:rRNA from 1 species